AGACUCUCUCUGCUUGCAGAGAGAGAAAGGCCUGGCUACUGGGGAACCUAACCAAGUGCCUAGGGUGGAGCAGGGCUGGGGGAAGGCCAACGGAGCUGGGAAGCUCUGGCCUGGGAACCCUCCCGCCCCCCCCAGGCUGUGGCCUAGUUGAAGGCCAAUUAGGUAUUUUCCUUAGAGAGAAUAUACAGUCUUCCCUCAUCAGCCUUAAAUGAUGUUACACAACAGAAGCAAGUGACAUCGUUUUCAAGAGGUGUUUUGUAGUUGUUGUUUCUCUUUUACCCUUUCUCAACAUCACUUCAUGAGGAAAGGGAUUCAUGUUUUUUUCCCUUGUUCUGAGAUCUUGUGUCUUGCUAGUCAGAACUCUCUCUAUAGCUGCUGGAGAAAUAGCCCUCUUUAAAAUAUGAAGAAGAUGCUGAUAACUAAAGAAGACUUCCUGUUCUUUACUUGGUGUAUUUAGUUGUGGUGUAUUUGAGUGGAAGCACUCAUGCGCAGAAAGCCAGAGCGGCGUAAUAGACCAAGAGCAGAAUAGACUUCAGAAUGAACAAACUCUAGCACCUAACCUGAACCUAGUCUCUUAAUUCUCCAGUUUCCACUUCUAUUGAGCCAUAAUGAUGAUGAACCUAAAUAGAUAAGUAAUAAUAUCAUGAGAAGGAAGGAUAGAUAUGUGUGUGAAAUAAUAACCAGCUCCAUCAGAGCACAGGAUAAAGUAAACAUAAGCAAACAGCAUCAGCAACUA